rnacentral:rRNA from 1 species
CCUACGGGUGGCAGUAGUGGGGAAUAUUGGACAAUGGGGGGAACCCUGAUCCAGCCAUGCCGCGUGUGUGAAGAAGGCCCUCGGGUUGUAAAGCACUUUCAGUGAGGAAGAACGCCUGGUGGUUAAUACCCAUCAGGAAAGACAUCACUCACAGAAGAAGCACCGGCUAACUCCGUGCCAGCAGCCGCGGUAAUACGGAGGGUGCGAGCGUUAAUCGGAAUUACUGGGCGUAAAGCGCGCGUAGGUGGCUUGAUAAGCCGGUUGUGAAAGCCCCGGGCUCAACCUGGGAACGGCAUCCGGAACUGUCAAGCUAGAGUGCAGGAGAGGAAGGUAGAAUUCCCGGUGUAGCGGUGAAAUGCGUAGAGAUCGGGAGGAAUACCAGUGGCGAAGGCGGCCUUCUGGACUGACACUGACACUGAGGUGCGAAAGCGUGGGUAGCAAACAGGAUUAGAUACCCGAGUAGUC